rnacentral:tRNA from 1 species
AAGGAUAUAGCUCAGUGGUAGAGCGCAUGCUUAGCAUGCACGAGGUCCUAGGUUCAAUCCCCAGCACCUCUG